rnacentral:rRNA from 1 species
GAUGAACGCUGGCGGCGUGCCUAACACAUGCAAGUCGAACGGGAAUCUUCGGAUUCUAGUGGCGGACGGGUGAGUAACGCGUGGGAACCUACCUGAAGGUACGGAACAACUCCGGGAAACUGGAGCUAAUACCGUAUGUGCCCGAAAGGGGAAAGAUUCAUCGCCUUCAGAUGGGCCCGCGUCAGAUUAGCUAGUUGGUGGGGUAAUGGCCCACCAAGGCGACGAUCUGUAGCUGGUCUGAGAGGAUGAUCAGCCACACUGGGACUGAGACACGGCCCAGACUCCUACGGGAGGCAGCAGUGGGGAAUAUUGGACAAUGGGCGCAAGCCUGAUCCAGCCAUGCCGCGUGAGUGAUGACGGCCUUAGGGUUGUAAAGCUCUUUCGACGGGGACGAUAAUGACGGUACCCGUAGAAGAAGCCCCGGCUAACUUCGUGCCAGCAGCCGCGGUAAGAC